GGGUGCAGUGGCCCAUGCCUAUUGUCUCAGCUACUUAGAAAGACGAAGUGGGAGGGUCACUUGAGCCCAGGAGUUUGAGGCCAGCCUGGGUAACAUAGUGAGACCCUGCCUUUA
rnacentral:sRNA from 1 species